rnacentral:rRNA from 1 species
UACGAGGGGGGGCGAGCGUUUGUUCGGAAUUAUUGGGCGUAAAGGGUGCGUAGGCGGUUUGGUAAGUCUUAUGUGAAAUCUAUGGGCUCAACUCAUAGUCUGCAUGAGAAACUGCCGGGCUUGAGUAUGGGAGAGGUGAGUGGAAUUCCUGGUGUAGCGGUGAAAUGCUUAGAGAUUACAUGGAAUACCAAUUGCAAGGCAGGUUACUACUAAUGGAUUGACGCUGAUGGACGAAAGCGUGGGUAGCGAACGG